GACUACUCGGGUAUCUAAGCCGGUUCGCUCCCCACGCUUUCGUGCCUCAGUGUCAGAAAUGGUCCAGUCACCUGCCUACGCCAUUGGUGUUCCUUCUAAUAUCUACGGAUUUCACUCCUACACUAGAAAUUCCAGUGACCUCUACCAUUCUCGAGUUUGCCAGUUUAGGUAAUAGCCUGUACGGUUGAGCCGCCAGAUUUCACUACCUACUUAACAAACCACCUACGCAACUCUUUACGCCCAGUCACUCCGGAUAACGCUCGGAUCCUACGUAUGACCGCGGCUGCUGGCACGUAGUUAGCCGAUCCUUAUUCAUAAGUUACCGUCAUAUUCCUCACUUAUAAAAGCAGUUUACGACCCGAAGGCCUUCAUCCUGCACGCGGCGUUGCUCCAUCAGGGUUGCCCCCAUUGUGGAAGAUUCCUCACUGCAGCCUCCCGUAGG
rnacentral:rRNA from 1 species